AUGGGGGAGUCCAGCGCGCUUCAGUCCAUCCUCUACGACCGCGGCGCGCUUCGCCUCCUCGAUCAGGUCCCGCCCUCUGCUUCCCAUGCGCCUUCUCUUGAUUCGAAGUGGUGUCCAGUUCUUCCGUUGCUGAUUGGGGUCUUGGUUUCUGGUUUCGAUGUGAUGCAGAGGAAGCUGCCCCUCGAGGAGGUCUACAUCGAUGUCAAGGACUCCGCGGAUGGAUGGAAUGCGAUCAGAGACAUGGUUGUUCGUGGUGCUCCUGCCAUAGCCAUAGCGGCAGCACUAUCAUUGGCUGUGGAAGUUAAUGAUCACGAUUUCACUGGUACACCUGUGGAAGCAGCCUCAUUCGUUUCCAAGAAGUUGGAAUACCUUGUAUCCAGCCGGCCCACAGCAGUGAACCUGUCUGAUGCUGCUACAAAGCUUCAGAACUUAGUGUCAAGAACAGCUGAAACAGCAAAAGAUGCCAAAUCUAUCUUUCAGGUCUUUAUUGAAGCUGCAGAGGCUAUGCUAGUUGAUGAUGUGGCCGAUAAUAAGGCAAUUGGCUUGCAUGGAGCUGAAUUCCUUCAACGCCAGCUUGGAAGUUCGAGAAACAUCUCUGUUCUAACCCAUUGUAAUACUGGCAGCCUUGCAACUGCUGGUUACGGAACUGCCCUAGGGGUCAUUCGUGCUCUUCACUCUGGAGGAGUUUUGGAGAAGGCCUUCUGCACUGAAACUCGUCCAUUUAACCAGGGUUCCAGGCUUACAGCCUUCGAGUUAGUUCAUGACAAAAUACCUGCGACGCUGAUAGCAGACUCUGCUGCAGCUGCACUUAUGAAUAAUGGACAAGUUCAAGCUGUAAUUGUGGGUGCUGAUCGUAUAGCUGCAAAUGGUGACACAGCCAACAAGAUUGGCACAUACAACCUCUCGAUUUCUGCAAAGCAUCACGGCGUGCAGUUUUACGUGGCCGCACCAGUAACUUCGAUUGAUCUCUCCCUCCCGUCUGGGAAGCAAAUCGUCAUAGAAGAAAGAUCUCCAAAGGAAUUGUUGAACUCUGAAGGUGGUCUAGGAAAGCAAGUUGCCGCGUCAGGUAUAUCAGUCUGGAACCCCGCCUUCGACGUUACUCCAGCAAAUCUAAUUACUGCAAUCAUUACAGAAAAGGGUGUGAUCACAAAGUCUGGUCCUAAUGGAAGUUUCGACAUCAAAGGUUUCAUCGAGCGUGCCAAGUGA
rnacentral:rRNA from 1 species